rnacentral:rRNA from 1 species
UACGUAGGGUGCAAGCGUUAAUCGGAAUUACUGGGCGUAAAGCGUGCGCAGGCGGUUUUGUAAGUCUGUCGUGAAAGCCCCGGGCUCAACCUGGGAAUUGCGAUGGAGACUGCAAGGCUUGAAUCUGGCAGAGGGGGUAGAAUUCCACGUGUAGCAGUGAAAUGCGUAGAGAUGUGGAGGAACACCGAUGGCGAAGGCAGCCCCCUGGGUCAAGAUUGACGCUCAUGCACGAAAGCGUGGGGGAGCAAACAGG